rnacentral:lncRNA from 1 species
UAUAAAAUGUGCAUGUUUAAUGGUGAUAAGUAUACUUCAUGCGGUGAACUUUUCUGCGUUAUAUACUUACGGCAGAAAUUGUUAUCAGUUGCACGAUACAGGAUAUUAUGAAAGGACGAAAUGUUUUCUCUGGGAACAAAAAAGGUCAUUUCUUUCAUUUCCAUCGCUGCAACGUUGCUACUAAGAGUACAAUUAACGGAAAGUUCACCAUCGCAUGAAACAUCGCAGAAUUUACAAGACACACAGACUAACACAACUAGUUCUGAUGGUAAGUCAGUUGCACAAAUGAUGGUAUUGCACAUUAUAUUGUAAGGAUAACGCAUGCAUUACGUU